GGGCGUUUGGUUUAGGGGUAUAACGUUCGCUUCGCAUACUCUGAGUGCGAAAGGUCCUGGGUUCAAUUCCCAGAACGUCCA